CUCAGAAGCACAUGAGCACCUGGGAGAGAGAAUCAGUGAGGGCUGUCUUGGAGGCUGGCUGUCAUGGGGAUCUUUAAAAAGGGGUUCUACUGGAAUAUAGACAAAGCCAAUAUUUUGAACAUUUUCUGUUAGAUUUGUGACAGAAUCUCUUCAAGUCAUCCUGGAAGUCACCUCCUCAAAGACUAAAGAACAAAUUAUUUUCUUUCUUGAAGAUGUUGGGAACCUGAUGUUUGAUGAGCCAACAAGUAACACCUUUCUCCAAGGAGCUCAGAAAGCUGCAUGAAAACUAGUCAGCAUUAUAUAUGGUGCUUUUGUUCUCACGUGCUUGUUUGAAUUUUUCAGUAUUGCUUCCACUGUGAUUUCUUUUUUAACUUUCUUUCUCUUGCUGCUAUUCAGUUAUAAUAUUCUGGUAUAUCCAUGUAUUAAAGUGACUCAAGACUUAAGUUUUAGGAAUCUAGAAGACCAAGAUGACAUGUUUAAAAAUAGAAUAUUUUUUAUGAUUGCAACCUGGUGAUUCAGACUUUUAUGUAUUAUAUGUUGAAUAAAUGCAUGAGCACACUAAGAAAUAUUAA